UUUGCCAAUCGAACUUCAUUAAGUGAAAAGCAUGAAAGAAAUGCCGAUUUAGGCUGAAGAAAUUAAAAAGGAAAGUGGAGAGCAGCACACAAUUACUCAGUUUUGAAUGGUUCUAUAGUACGCCAACAAAUAAAAGCCCAGCGACAUCGAAAUUCCAUAGUUCACGCCGUUCUUUUUGGCUUGGAGAUCUGAGACCCGGAGUCUGAACCGUGGAAGUCAAUUUUGUCUAUAUACUGACAAGCCAGGUCAUCGCGAUAGGUUUGAGCGAAAGUGUCACAAUCAGCUAAACGCGCGAGUCCUACAAUUAAUUUCAUGUAAAAGUAAAGCUCCAGGUUUUACCUCCAGCCGGCAUUGCAUACAUGACAAGUGAACCGAAGUGAAGUCUGGAGUUGGAAUUUCUCUCGGAUUUGUGCUCAUUGACUUCGAGAAGUUGGUUCCCGUAUAUUAUCGAUGCAAUUUUAAUCCCUAUGAUCUUACUGACGCAAAGCUAAGCAAUCCAACAUCAGCAAUCAUCUAUUGAUCUCUUCGUCGAAUUACGACACACACUCAAAUGAGAGUCCGAUCGCGACGACACGACGCGCUGACCUUCACAAUUUCAAUUGCCAUCCAAGAAC